GCUUAAAUAGCUCAGUAAGGAGAGCAUUAGACUAUAGAUAGAAAGGUCCCUGGUUCGAUCCCGGGUUUCGUCA
rnacentral:tRNA from 1 species